ACCUGUGGGAAAGGUCCAACCUCACAUGUCCUGUAUAUAAUAAAGGGGAUAUAUGUGGUCAGACCUAUCCCACAGGC
rnacentral:pre_miRNA from 1 species